GUCAGUGUGGCAUAGUGGUUUGCGCAUUGGACUACAACUCUGAAGACCAGAGUUCAAAUCACCUCUCAAG